GACGAACGCUGGCGGCGUGCCUAAUACAUGCAAGUAGAACGCACAGUUUAUACCGUAGCUUGCUACACCAUAGACUGUGAGUUGCGAACGGGUGAGUAACGCGUAGGUAACCUGCCUGGUAGCGGGGGAUAACUAUUGGAAACGAUAGCUAAUACCGCAUAAUAUUAAUUAUUGCAUGAUAAUUAAUUGAAAGGUGCAAUUGCACCACUACCAGAUGGACCUGCGUUGUAUUAGCUAGUAGGUGAGGUAACGGCUCACCUAGGCGACGAUACAUAGCCGACCUGAGAGGGUGAUCGGCCACACUGGGACUGAGACACGGCCCAGACUCCUACGGGAGGCAGCUGUAGGGAAUCUUCGGCAAUGGACGAAAGUCUGACCGAGCAACGCCGCGUGAGUGAAGAAGGUUUUCGGAUCGUAAAGCUCUGUUGUAAGAGAAGAACGGGUGUGAGAGUGGAAAGUUCACACUGUGACGGUAGCUUACCAGAAAGGGACGGCUAACUACGUG
rnacentral:rRNA from 1 species